rfam:Nicotiana sylvestris Nsyl_contig34037, whole genome shotgun sequence.
AGAUACGAACAUACCGGUAUUCACUCACCAAAUCUCAUUAGAACCUGAAUUAAACGUACUUGGGUAAAAGUAAUACUAGGAUGACUGAUCCCUUAGAAAAUUCUUGCGGUGCAUCCU